rnacentral:rRNA from 1 species
GUGGGGAAUAUUGGGCAAUGGGGGCAACCCUGACCCAGCAACGCCGCGUGAGGGAAGAAGGUUUUCGGAUUGUAAACCUCUGUCCUAUGGGAAGAAGGAAGUGACGGUACCAUAGGAGGAAGCCCCGGCUAACUACGUGCCAGCAGCCGCGGUAAUACGUAGGGGGCGAGCGUUGUCCGGAAUUACUGGGCGUAAAGGGUGCGCAGGUGGCCUGACAAGUCAGAUGUGAAAUACCGAUGCUUAACGUCGGGGCUGCAUUUGAAACUAUGAGGCUGGAGUGCAGGAGAGGGAAGCGGAAUGCCUAGUGUAGCGGUGAAAUGCAUAGAUAUUAGGAGGAACACCAGUGGCGAAGGCGGCUUUCUGGACUGUAACUGACACUGAGGCACGAAAGCGUGGGGAGCAAACAGGAUUAGAAACCCCUGUAGUCC